rnacentral:lncRNA from 1 species
CAAUGCCGGCUUUACAUGCUGAAUUGUGUUCUUCUGAUCCACCUGUAUUCACAACUCCCCUUUCGUAGUGUGUCAAUGCUCCUGGGUAGUCACCUCUGCAGUAUGAGCAUGUUUUACAAUGCAAUACAAUCCUUAAACAGAUAAACUUACGUAAACUCGAGUUGCUGGGCAUACUCCCUUGAGAUGUAAGGGAUCUGAUCUGGAGCCAAUUUCUUAGCCAGAUGAAGGGACUGGUCCCAGUGAAGCAAGUCUCUGCGCAUCUCCAAAGCUGCGACAGGAGUGCUGGAGCUCAGGUACAAUUCCUGCAUAAUCAGAAGGUAUUCAGCAUGAUUUUGGAACUAUCCACUUAUAAUCUUUAAGAAUUUAAAAAGAAAUAUGUAUAUUGAUCACUAUGAACAUGGAAAUGAAAAUCAUUACAUAUCUAGAGAUCAGUCAGUAAAUGUAAAUUCUAAUACCAUUUAAAUCUUUAUUCAUUUUCCAAUUUAAAGAUAAUCUUUGGUCUUAAAGGUCAUUUCAGCUCCUCCUAAUACAAAAAAUCCUCACAAAGUCAUUCACAUAAUUACAUAACCUAUACACCACCUGUAUUUAUGAUUCUUCAACAAUUUUAUUUUAAAAAUACACAGUGGAUUAGAUAUCUACUAUAUUUAAAGCACUUAACUUCUGCAAAUAGUAACUACUGUAUGCUUUACCUGAGCUGUGUUGAAAUCACCAAGAUACAUUGCUAAAUGUCCACUCAGCAACUUUGGAUCCUCAAUAUCCAUUAGGCUUUGCAGCGACCAUACCAUUCCCACAUCACCCAGCUGACGAUACACUCGUAUGGCUGGGGAUCAAGGACAGUUAAGUAUAACAUUAACCACAUCCAUCGUCAAAUAUUUUCCAUUGUUUUCACAAAGGAGUAAUAUACAAAACUUGACAAAAAUGAGGUACAUGUAGGAUUCAGUGAGGCAAUAACAAUAUCACAUUUGUCAAGCAUUCACAAAAGAGCAGUUUUCAGAACAUAAAAUGAAUCAAGCACAGAUUAGGAUUUAGCACUGCAUUAACCACAUCUAAUGCUACAUACAUUCCAAACAAGCAGAACAAAGUAAUUUUCCAAAUACUAAAAAUAAUCAUAAAAAUACCAAAAUACCCAAAACUCACCAAGAUCCAGAUUUAUGCACCAGAGGCAAGCCUUUCCAAGGACCACCCAGUCUUCCUUAUUGUUUAGCACUUGGCAGAUGGCACUUGCAUCCUUGAAUCUGUUAUAGACAUAAGUAAAUGUUUGAUUCAGCAAUUAAAUAAUUAACUUACAUCUUGGGUAUCUUUUUAAGACAUAUUAACAACAUGACAACUGUACAUUUUUAUCUGCAUUCACCCUACAAAUCUGUCAAAAAAGUAAAUAAAUGUAUCAAAUAAACAUAUGUACAUUAUGGACAAAACUGUUUCAGUCUAUUAUAUAACCACGUUUACAUUAGGAACAAGAACAUUCCAACAUCUUGGUAAUUUAACUGUGUAAAUGACAAAACACAUUACAUAUUACACAAAACAUAAUGCCCAAUUACAGCUUUUUGACAGCUAGUUCCUAAAUGUGUACUAAACAAUAACACAACCCAUACACCAAGCCUACCUUCUGAGAGAAAUAUUCUUCUUGAGUGCUGUCCGUAGUUGUUCAUGGGAGUAGUCAUGAAUGUUUGCCUCCAUUUCGUGAGAGGAAAGGAUGAGAGGAGCUGUCCUUCCAGAGGCAGUCUGAAGAGUCACCUGUGCACCAAAGGUUGAAAAUUACUGUGCAACCAACACUAUAGCUAACAUGCAUUCAUAUUUACAUUAUAAAGUAGAAUUUCCCCCUUUUCAUAAUACUAUUCAGCCUUUUUUUCUCUGUUGAGGAACCUAUAAGUGUAACACACAGAUACUUACCUCCCCAUUAUAGAGUAACAGGGGAACUUGACUUGGGGGAAUUUUAGUCAUGCCCACUAGUUCAACAUGAUUGCCUGUGAACAAGAAAGAGUAUAUAAGUAAUAACACAAAUAUUAUAUUGCCUUACUUCAUCUCAUUGUAAGCUUCCAGUUGCCAAGUACCUUAUACAGAAAAGUUAAAUUGAUC